GGAGAGUUGGCUCAGUGGUUAAGAGCACUGGCUGCUCUUCUAGAAGAUCUGGAUUCAAUUCCCAGACAAUUUA
rnacentral:tRNA from 1 species